rnacentral:rRNA from 1 species
GACGAACGCUGGCGGCGUGCCUAAUACAUGCAAGUCGAACGCAGUGGGGACGGGUGAGUAACACGUGGGUAACCUCCCAUCAGAGGGGAUAACACUUGGAAACAGGUGCUAAACCGAUAUUGAUGGAUGGACCCGCGGUGCAUUAGAUAGUUGGUGAGGUAACGGCUCACCAAGGCCGCGAUGCAUAGCCGACCUUAGCGUGUUAUCUGCCACACUGGGACUUAGACACGGCCCAGACUCCUACGGUAGGCAGCAGUAGGGAAUCUUCGUCAAUGUACUCAAGUCUGACCGACCACUGCCGCGUGAAUGAAGAAGGUUUUCUGAUUGUAAAACUCUUUUGUUGGAGAGGCGUUAUCGAACCAGAAAGCCCCGGCUAACUCCGUGCCAGCAGCCGCGGUAAUAC